rnacentral:rRNA from 1 species
GUGAGUGGCGAACGGGUGAGUAACACGUGGGUAACCUGCCCAGAAGUAGGGGAUAACACCUGGAAACAGAUGCUAAUACCGUAUAACAGAGAAAACCGCAUGGUUUUCUUUUAAAAGAUGGCUCUGCUAUCACUUCUGGAUGGACCCGCGGCGUAUUAGCUAGUUGGUGAGGUAAAGGCUCACCAAGGCAGUGAUACGUAGCCGACCUGGAGAGGGUAAUCGGCCACAUUGGGACUGAGACACGGCCCAGACUCCUACGGGAGGCAGCAGUAGGGAAUCUUCCACAAUGGACGCAAGUCUGAUGGAGCAACGCCGCGUGAGUGAAGAAGGGUUUCGGCUCGUAAAGCUCUGUUGUUAAAGAAGAACGUGGGUAAGAGUAACUGUUUACCCAGUGACGGUAUUUAACCAGAAAGCCACGGCUAACUACGUGCCAGCAGCCGCGGUAAUACGUAGGUGGCAAGCGUUAUCCGGAUUUAUUGGGCGUAAAGCGAGCGCAGGCGGUCUUUUAAGUCUAAUGUGAAAGCCUUCGGCUCAACCGAAGAAGUGCAUUGGAAACUGGGAGACUUGAGUGCAGAAGAGGACAGUGGAACUCCAUGUGUAGCGGUGAAAUGCGUAGAUAUAUGGAAGAACACCAGUGGCGAAGGCGGCUGUCUGGUCUGCAACUGACGCUGAGGCUCGAAAGCAUGGGUAGCGAACAGGAUUAGAUACCCUGGUAGUCCAUGCCGUAAACGAUGAUUACUAAGUGUUGGAGGGUUUCCGCCCUUCAGUGCUGCAGCUAACGCAUUAAGUAAUCCGCCUGGGGAGUACGACCGCAAGGUUGAAACUCAAAAGAAUUGACGGGGGCCCGCACAAGCGGUGGAGCAUGUGGUUUAAUUCGAAGCUACGCGAAGAACCUUACCAGGUCUUGACAUCUUCUGACAGUCUAAGAGAUUAGAGGUUCCCUUCGGGGACAGAAUGACAGGUGGUGCAUGGUUGUCGUCAGCUCGUGUCGUGAGAUGUUGGGUUAAGUCCCGCAACGAGCGCAACCCUUAUUACUAGUUGCCAGCAUUAAGUUGGGCACUCUAGUGAGACUGCCGGUGACAAACCGGAGGAAGGUGGGGACGACGUCAAAUCAUCAUGCCCCUUAUGACCUGGGCUACACACGUGCUACAAUGGAUGGUACAACGAGUCGCGAGACCGCGAGGUUAAGCUAAUCUCUUAAAACCAUUCUCAGUUCGGACUGUAGGCUGCAACUCGCCUACACGAAGUCGGAAUCGCUAGUAAUCGCGGAUCAGCAUGCCGCGGUGAAUACGUUCCCGGGCCUUGUACACACCGCCCGUCACACCAU